AUCAAUGGUGGCUCAGGCAGGGCUGACUUCGGUCAGGCCGGUGUCCUUGUAGGCCGGUAGUGCAAACCCUGUCUGAGCUAUCACCAUG
rnacentral:antisense_RNA from 1 species